rnacentral:SRP_RNA from 1 species
GCCGGGCGUGGUGGCGCAUGCCUGUAGUCCCAGCUACUCGGGAGGCUGAGGUGGGAGGAUCGUCUGAGUCCAGGAGUUCUGGGCUGCAGUGCGCUAUGCCGAUCGGGUGUCCACACUAAGUUCAGCAUCAAUAUGGUGACCUCCCGGGAGCGGGGUACCACCAGGUUGCCUAAGGAGGGUGAACUGGCCCAGGUCGGAAACGGAGCAGGUCAAAACUCCCGUGCUGAUCAGCAGUGGGAUCGUGCCUGUGAAUAGCCACUGCACUCCAGCCUGGGCAAUAUAGUGAGACCCUGUCUCU